rnacentral:rRNA from 1 species
UACGUAGGGGGCAAGCGUUAAUCGGAAUUACUGGGCGUAAAGCGUGCGCAGGCGGGGUUGUAAGUCUGACGUGAAAUCCCCGGGCUUAACCUGGGAAUUGCGUUGGAGACUGCAAGGCUAGAAUCUGGCAGAGGGGGGUAGAAUUCCACGUGUAGCAGUGAAAUGCGUAGAGAUGUGGAGGAACACCGAUGGCGAAGGCAGCCCCCUGGGUCAAGAUUGACGCUCAUGCACGAAAGCGUGGGGAGCAAACAGG